rnacentral:rRNA from 1 species
UGGGGAAUAUUGGGCAAUGGGGGAAACCCUGACCCAGCGACGCCGCGUGAGGGAAGAAGGCCUUAGGGUCGUAAACCUCUGUUGUGUGGGAAGAAGAGCGUGACGGUACCACACGAGGAAGUCCCGGCUAACUACGUGCCAGCAGCCGCGGUAAUACGUAGGGGACGAGCGUUGUCCGGAUUUACUGGGCGUAAAGGGCGCGUAGGCGGUCAUUUAAGUCAGCUGUGAAAUGGUGCGGCUUAACCGCAUCAUGCGGUUGAAACUGGAUGACUGGAGUGCUGGAGAGGCAAGUGGAAUUCCCAGUGUAGCGGUGAAAUGCGUAGAUAUUGGGAAGAACACCGGUGGCGAAGGCGACUUGCUGGCCAGCAACUGACGCUGAGGCGCGAAAGCCAGGGGAGCAAACGG